rnacentral:rRNA from 1 species
CGUAACAAGGUCUCCGUAGGUGAACCUGCGGAGGGAUCAUUACACAAAUAUGAAGGCGGGCUGGAACCUCUCGGGGUUACAGCCUUGCUGAAUUAUUCACCCUUGUCUUUUGCGUACUUCUUGUUUCCUUGGUGGGUUCGCCCACCACUAGGACAAACAUAAACCUUUUGUAAUUGCAAUCAGCGUCAGUAACAAAUUAAUAAUUACAACUUUCAACAACGGAUCUCUUGGUUCUGGCAUCGAUGAAGAACGCAGCGAAAUGCGAUAAGUAGUGUGAAUUGCAGAAUUCAGUGAAUCAUCGAAUCUUUGAACGCACAUUGCGCCCUUUGGUAUUCCAAAGGGCAUGCCUGUUCGAGCGUCAUUUGUACCCUCAAGCUUUGCUUGGUGUUGGGCGUCUUGUCUCUAGCUUUGCUGGAGACUCGCCUUAAAGUAAUUGGCAGCCGGCCUACUGGUUUCGGAGCGCAGCACAAGUCGCACUCUCUAUCAGCAAAGGUCUAGCAUCCAUUAAGCCUUUUUUUCAACUUUUGACCUCGGAUCAGGUAGGGAUACCCGCUGAACUUAAGCAUAUCAA